rnacentral:rRNA from 1 species
UCGGGUUGUAAAGCACUUUUGUCCGGAAAGAAAACUUCUGCCCUAAUACGGUGGGAGGAUGACGGUACCGGAAGAAUAAGCACCGGCUAACUACGUGCCAGCAGCGCGGUAAUCGUAGGGUGCGAGCGUUAAUCGGAAUUACUGGGCGUAAAGCGUGCGCAGGCGGUUCGUUAAGACAGAUGUGAAAUCCCCGGGCUUAACCUGGGAACUGCAUUUGUGACUGGCGAGCUAGAGUAUGGCAGAGGGGGGUAGAAUUCCACGUGUAGCAGUGAAAUGCGUAGAGAUGUGGAGGAAUACCGAUGGCGAAGGCAGCCCCCUGGGCCAAUACUGACGCUCAUGCGCGAAAGCGUGGGGAGCAAACAGGAUUAGAUACCCUGGUAGUCCACGCCCUAAACGAUGUCAACUAGUUGUUGGGUCUUCAUUGACUUAGUAACGUAGCUAACGCGUGAAGUUGACCGCCUGGGGAGCACGGUCGCAAGAUUAAAACUCAAAGGAAUUGACGGGGACCCGCACAAGCGGUGGAUGAUGUGGAUUAAUUCGAUGCAACGCGAAAAACCUUACCUACCCUUGACAUGGUCGGAACCUGCUG